UACGUAGGGUGCGAGCGUUGUCCGGAAUUAUUGGGCGUAAAGAGCUCGUAGGCGGUGUGUCACGUCGGCCGUGAAAACCUGCAGCUUAACUGUGGGCGUGCGGUCGAUACGGGCAUCACUGGAGUUCGGCAGGGGAGACUGGAAUUCCUGGUGUAGCGGUGAAAUGCGCAGAUAUCAGGAGGAACACCGGUGGCGAAGGCGGGGUCUCUGGGCCGAUACUGACGCUGAGGUGCGAAAGCGUGGGGAGCAAACAGG
rnacentral:rRNA from 1 species